rnacentral:rRNA from 1 species
CAAGCUACUAAGGGCGCACGGUGGAUGCCUAGGAGCAAGGAGCCGAUGAAGGGCGUGGUCAGCUGCGAUAAGCUGCGAGGAGCCGCAAACAGGCGUUGAUCCGCAGAUGCCCGAAUGGGAGAACCCGGCCACCGCAUGGGUGGUCACCUACCGCUGAAUCCAUAGGCGGUAGGGGGGAACCUGGGGAACUGAAACAUCUCAGUACCCAGAGGAAAAGAAAUCGAACGAGAUUCCCUCAGUAGCGGCGAGCGAACGGGGAAGAGCCUAAACCUAUUGGGCAUGCCCAAUAGGGGUCGUGGGACUGACACAAGGGAGCAGCGCGUGUAGCCGAAUCGCAUGGAACGGCGAGCCAUAGAGGGUGAUAGCCCCGUACGCGAAAUACGCAACGCCCCGUCAGCUUCCCGAGUAGCACGGGAUAAGAGGAGCCCUGUGCGAAUCCGCCCGGACCACCGGGUAAGGCUAAAUACUCCUUGCUACCGAUAGCGCAACCAGUACCGUGAGGGAAAGGUGAAAAGCACCCCGGCGAGGGGAGUGAAAAGAACCUGAAACCGUGCGCUUACAAACAGUCGGAGGACUAUACCCCUCGGGGGGACAGUCUGACGGCGUGCCUUUUGCAGAAUGAGCCGGCGAGUUGUGCUCAGCGGCAAGGUUAAGCGUCUCAGACGCGGAGCCGUAGCGAAAGCGAGUCCACACAGGGCGACCCAGUCGCUGGGUGCAGACCCGAAACCGCGUGAUCUAACCCUGGUCAGGCUGAAGCCGUGGUAACACACGGUGGAGGGCCGAACUGGUGACCGUUGAAAAGGUCUCGGAGGAACUGGGGUUAGUGUGGUGAAAUGCCAAUCGAACGCGGAAAUAGCUGGUUCUCCCCGAAAUGCAUUGAGGUGCAGCCUCACGCGCUAUGCUAUGCAGGUAGAGCCACUGGAUGGGCUAGGGGCCCCACCAGGUUACUGAACCCAACCAAACUCCGAAUGGCAUAGCAGGAAGCGUGGGAGUGAGACAGCGACGGAUGAGCGCCGUUGUCAAAAGGGCAAUAGCCCAGACCGCCCGCUAAGGUCCCUAAACACAGGCUAAGUGUUAAAGGAUGUAGGGUCGCGUAAACAACCAGGAGGUUGGCUUAGAAGCAGCCAUCCUUUAAACAGUGCGUAACAGCUGACUGGUCGAAUGUGACCCUGCGCCGAUAAUGUAAGGGGGCUCAAGCCUGUUACCGAAGCGGCGGGUUCCCGUAUGGGAGCGGUAGGGGAGCGUUCUGCUCGCAGUGAAGGCGGAGCGGAAGCACCGCUGGAGCGUGCAGAAGUGAGAAUGCCGGCACGAGUAGCGAGAAGACGGGUGAGAAUCCCGUCCGCCGAAAGCCUAAGGGUUCUUCAGGCAGGUUCGUCCGCUGAAGGUCAGGCGGUCCUAAGUCGAGGGCGAAAAGCCGUAGGCGAAGGGCAGUGGGUCAACAUUCCCACCCCAGGUGGCGGAGCAAAGCGGUGACGCUUCAGAAUCGGUCGGGCGCGGAGUUGGAAGGCCGCGCUCGCCCCGGCGGCAACUCCGGGGCGACGAAGGGAUCCCUCGGGUGAACGAAGCGACUGUGACUGGAGCCGAGAAAACCCGUGUAGCGUUGAAACCACCUGACCGUACCGCAAACCGACACAGGUAGGCGAGGCGAGAAGCCUCAGGCGCGCGAGAGAAGUCCCGCUAAGGAACUCGGCAAAUUGACCCCGUAACUUCGGGAGAAGGGGUGCCUCGAAAGAGGUCGCAGCAAAGCGGGCCCGGCGACUGUUUACCAAAAACACAGCUCUCUGCUAAGGGGAAACCCGAUGUAUAGGGGGCGACGCUUGGCCAAUGCCCGUAGGUUAAGGGGAGGGGUCAGCCGCAAGGUGCAGCCCUAAACUGAAGCCCGGGUGAAUGCCGGCCGUAACUCUAACGGUCCUAUGGUACUUUCGCUGCCCCCCCAGUGGGUAACCACUGGGUGAGCAUCCGGCUAUAUGCUGGAAACCCCGAGAAUCCAGCGGUACUUGCAGGAAAUCACAAGCCCAACCCAAACUUGUGACCUGUGAGUGACAAUCCGACUGGUGCGGACAACCAGCAGGAAAGACUAAUCCUUCUCGGUUGGGUUGUUGGGUUUGUAGACGGCGAGGGAUGCUUUUCUAUCAGCUUCAUCCAUCAACCUAAUAGAAGCUCCCGCAAAGGCUACAAAACCCAAAUACAGGUGUUCCAUGAGUUCGCCGUCACGCAGGGCGAGCGCAACCUCCGCGCUCUGCAAACCCUGCAAUCCUUCUGGGGCGUCGGACAUGUAAUUGUUAACCGACGCCACGAUAAUCAUACGGAACCCCUACACCGCUAUGUCGUGCGCAAACGCAGUGAGCUUUUAGAAGUCAUCAUCCCGUUCUUCCAUCAGCAUCCUCUACGCACCGCGAAACAGGACGACUUCGAAAAGUUCGCUCGCUGUGUGACCUGGAUGGCUGCAGGCUAUCAUCGAACCUCCGAAGGACUGCAAGCCAUCGCCGAGGUCGCCGCGACGAUGAAUCGGCGGAAAGACCGAGCCGAAAGGAUUAGAAUCCUCAGAGACCAUACGCCGGAUACCUCAACGAUGAGGUGAAGAGAUGGUCCCAUCUGCAUGGCGACAUGCAGGAGCUGUACCCCUACGACAAGGGGGUGGUACGGCUCGCUCGAGAGUUUCUCGAGUAAGACAAUAAGCGAAAUUCCUUGUCGCGUAAAUUGCGACCCGCACGAAAAGCGUAACGACUGGGCCACUGUCUCAGCGGGACACUCGGUGAAACUGUAGCACCCGUGAAGAUGCGGGUUACCUGCGGUAGGACGGAAAGACCCUAUGGAGCUUUACUACAGCUUGAGAUUGCAUUUCGGUAUGUCAUGUAGAGCGUAGGUGGGAGCUUCGGCGCCAAUGGAACACCACCCUUGACCUACUGGAAUGCUAACCUGCGCCGUAAUCCGGCGUGGAGACAGUCUUAGGCGGGUAGUUUGACUGGGGCGGUCGCCUCAACA